rnacentral:lncRNA from 1 species
AACACGAUUACUGGUCCACCUAGAAAUGCCGUGGAGCGAUUUAAGAGCCUCGGAAAUUUCCUUUAAGGUCAGGAGAGAAGCUGGUAACAGAUGGGGCGAAGGAGGAAAAGUUCUUUUUGCGGCACCCUCACGCCUUCCCAGCCCUUUCGCGGUUUACUCGCUCCCCGGAAAGCAGACUAGUCUCACUCUGUUGCCCAGGCUGGAGUGCAGUGGCGCGAUCUCAGCUUACUUCAGCCUCCGCCUCCCGGUUUCAAGUGAAUUCUCCAGCCUCAACUUCACAAGUAGCUGGGAUUACAGGGCAUUCAAGCAGCCCUGAGGAGAGGUCCACAUGGUGAGCCACUGAGGGCCUUGCCAAGAGCCAGCACCAACGGUCCAGGUUUGGAGUGUACCACCUUGGAAGUGAAUCUUCCAGUCCAGUCAAGCCUUCAGAUGACUUCAGAACCGUCCAUGUAAGCCACUCUUGGAUUCCUGACCCACAGAAACUGUUGGAGCUGCCAAUUUGCAGGAAAUAGAGGAGAGAAGCAUCUGUUGAACUGCACCAUGAGUAUACACUCAGCAAAGGCCAAACUGUGGAAAAUGAUACAGGUCAAACAGCCUGGAUUCUUUAACAGACGGAGUCUCACUCUGUCACCCAGCCUGAAGUGCAAUGGUACAAUCUCAGCUCACUGCAACCUCCGCCUCCCGGGCUCAAGCAAUUCUCCUGCCUCAGCCUCCUGAAUAGCUGGGAUUACAGGCACGCGCCACCACGCCCAGCUAAUUUUUGUAUUUUUAGUAGAGACGGGGUUUCACCAUGUUGCCCAGGCUGGUCUUGAACUCCUGACCUCAGGUGAUCCACCCACCUCAGCCUCCCAAAGUGCUGGGAUUACAGGCAUGAGCCACCGUGCCUGGCCUUUUGUAUCUGUUUUAUUUUUUAAAUAAUAAGAUUAAAAAUAAAUAUUCUGCAUGAUUAAACAAAUACAGAUUUAAAUUUUUACAGUCCAAUUGAGUGAUUUCCUCAUGUUCCAAAACCAGGAAGUAGGUGUGGGACAUCUAUCUCCGUAUUGCAUACACAGUCUGGAUUCUAGUUGUAGACUCCAUAUGGGCUGUCAUACACGCUACUACAGAAAUGAGAGAAAUCCUUGGGAAAUGGAACCAUCUCACACAUGAGAGACAUCUCUGACAACUUAUUCAUAACUGAAUACUUCUCAUUUAUCUUUACCAGUAAGUGAUGUUUCUGAAGCACCAAUGAAAAUGAAGUCCUGAAGUCCUGUGCUCAAUAUGAAAUGUUGGAAGUUAGAAGAAAAAAACAAAACUUGGAUCCAAUCUCAAGGCACUUUUUGUUUAAUGGGAAGAAGUGGAUUAUUUUAAAAGCUACAAAUAAAGUUACAUAAAAGUA